rnacentral:tRNA from 1 species
GCGAAGGUGGCAGAGUGGUCAAAUGCGCUAGCUUGAGGGGCUAGUCUCUUAGUGAGUGCGAGGGUUCGAACCCCUUCCUUCGCA